GCAAACUUGGUCAUUUAGAGGAAGUAAAAGUCGUAACAAGGUCUCCGUUGGUGAACCAGCGGAGGGAUCAUUACAGAGUCUCGUACUCCCUAAAACCACUGUGAACCUACCACUGUUGCUUCGGCGUCAUCCCGGCCGUGACCCCCCGAGGGUCCGGACGGCGGCGCCGGGGACCCCCAAACCCGUAUCUUCUGAGAAUCCUCUGAACCUAGCAAGCAAAUAAAACUUUCAGCGACGGAUCUCUUGGCUCUGGCAUCGAUGAAGAACGCAGC
rnacentral:misc_RNA from 1 species